rnacentral:rRNA from 1 species
AUGCUUCUGCUAAUCCAAGGAAAUUAUGAACAAACCCAGAUCAUUAAAAGGAUUUUACAUGCUUUCUCCAAUUUCACUGGGUUACAUAUAAAUUUCAGCAAGAGCACCUUCAUCCCAAUAUGUAUGGAUGAAGCUACAAGUUUGAGAGUGGCUGAGAUGUUCCAAUGCUCCAUUUCGUCGUUCCCAUGCAUCUACUUGGGUAUGCCUCUCUCCAUGAAAAAGAUAUCACACGACCUAUUGAUGCCAGUUAUUCAUAAGAUUGACAAGAGGCUCUCUGGCUGGCUUGCCACCUUCCUGUUCUAG